AAUAAUUAGCGGGGAAAGAAGACCCUUUUGAGCUUGACUCUAAUCUGGCAGUGUAAGGAGACAUAAGAGGUGUAGAAUAAGUGGGAGAUAUUAGACUUCGGUUUGGUAUCGACAAUGAAAUACCACUACUCUUAUUGUUUCCUUACUUACUUGAUUAAAUGGAACGUGUAUCAUUUCCUAGCCAUUAUACGGAUAUAAUUAUUAUGUCUUAUGGUAUUGGGUUUUGAUGCAAGCUUCUUGAUCAAAGUAUCACGAGUUUGUUAUAUAAUCGCAAACAAAUUCUUUAAUGAGAGAAUGCAUUUAUGUAUUAUUGAUUUAAAAAUUUGGUAUAACUCCAAUUACUCAGGUAUGAUCCAAUUCAAGGACAUUGCCAGGUAGGGAGUUUGACUGGGGCGGUACAUCUCUCAAAUAAUAACGGAGGUGUCCCAAGGCCAGCUCAGUGCGGACAGAAACCACACAUAGAGCAAAAGGGCAAAUGCUGACUUGAUCUCGGUGUUCAGUACACACAGGGACAGCAAAAGCUCGGCCUAUCGAUCCUUUUGGUUUAAAGAG
rnacentral:ncRNA from 1 species